UUAAUAAUUUUUUAUUUCAAGAAUUAUCGAAUGAUAAGAGUGUUCUGAUGUUAUAUUAUUAUUCACCGUAUUUUUUAAUAUUAAAAAAUUAUUGAGCCUUGGCGUGAGCUUUUAUAUUCAUAAAUUAAGAUUUGAAUCUGUGUUUCGGGUUAUCAUGGACCACAAUUUUCUUACUGUGAAUGAAGCUUCAGUUUUUGGUGGAUUCUAAUAAUAUUCGUUUGAAGGCUGGACAAGAUUUUUAUUGGAUCGUCAAUAACGAAGAUUGUACCGUAGAGAUUUUUUUUUUUCAUCAGCAUCUUUUUCAAUGACAGUGACUAACGCAAAGUAAAU